CUCCCCUUUCCCCUUCUAAAUCUGGGCUCCCUUAGAGGGUCCCUUGGAUGCUAAGCCUCCUGUCUGCCUCCUGUGGGCUUAUCAAGCCUGAGGCCAAAGUCACGUGCACCCAAGCCUCUUGUUUCCCUUCCCUCCUAGGGGAAGCAGGGUGGGGCUGGCUGCUGGGACAUCAGAAGUCACCAGUGACCCUCCUUCAUAGGGUCAGAGAAGAUGGGGGGGUUAGGGGCAUGGCCCCCCCAGGUGUUUUGUACAUUUUUACAGGGGUGCCCCCUCAGCCCAACCCCUCUUUCCCCCUCCCUUGUUUAAUUAAAUCCUCAGACUGGUGCUCUGUUCCCAGCCUCUCGCCUCUCUGUCUGGGGGGAGGGGGGAAAGAAGGGAAGGAAGGGAGAAAGCCUGGUGGGGAGUUGGGGUUGGGAACCCAGCAAGAGGUACCAGGGAAUUGGCUUUAUUUUCCUCAGGAAAUUGGUAACUUAGGUGAGGUACAAACAUGGGAAUGGCCUCCCUGAGUCCAUUAGUUGGGCCAGGAUAUGCCGAAUUAAUCUCACCCUGCCAUUCCAAGAGGAUGGGGAAAGUCCCCUUUGGCUGGCAAGGCCACUUCGCUCCAGCCUUAUAUCUUGUUUCUUGUCAUCCCCGGGCUUCCAAGUAGCCUAAACUCUGAAGCCUCAGAAAUUCUGUCCCUCUCAGUGUGUAGGUCCUGGUGCUCUGGACCACACUUCCCCCAGGAGUCAGUUUUCCUAUUCCCUAGAAUCUUGGGGGCCUGUUUUUCCUAAGGCAGAAUUUGGUGUCUACCUUUAUGCUGCUUCCUCCCCUCAGAGUCCCUGAAUUCCCUGGCAGGGAGGCUGAAUUCUUCAUGUCCCACAGACCAAAGAACAGGGGACUGAGCAGAGCAAGGUAGGCAGGUCCUUGGAAGUGACCUGCCUUCCUGAACUCUUCCCAACAGUAGCCCUAGCCCCAGCCUGGCCUCAGGGAGUUGCAGGUACUCCUGUGUUCUGGGCCACCUUAGAGACUAUUAAGGUGGUGGGUUUGUUCAAAAACAAAGAUAUUCAGUUGGCUCCCUCCAUGGCGUAAAUGGGGGAUGUUGGCUCUGUAAUAUUUGCGGAUAUUUAUAUAAAAAAGGAGUGUUACAAUGCAGCUUAUCUUCCUCCUCAUUGACUGUAUGCCUGGGACUGGUGGGAGGAGGGAGGAAAAGGGUGCCCAACCAGGGUGGUGUGCCUCAGGGGACAAGCUUUGGGACCAUUACACUU
rnacentral:lncRNA from 1 species